rnacentral:sRNA from 1 species
AACAAAGGAACGAAGGCUAAGAACUCCACCUCGUGUGGUAACUACCACAUCACCCUACAUCGUGUUGG